rnacentral:lncRNA from 1 species
GUAAGGUAAGAACCUAUUGACUGGAGUCCAAAAUGAUGACCGCGGUGACUAUGAACCAGUAGCCGUGCAAUAAAAAUAAGCAAAAGGAAGUUGUAUAGUACGCUCAACUCCAUCAUGAGGCCUACUUUAACCAACUCCUCUCUCCAUCCGCCAGAGCACACCGCCACUUUGCGGCCAUAGCCAUCGAGGGCAACUCUCACGUGGACUGCGCCCGACUGCGCUACGUGGUCAAGAGUCUGACCCAGUUCAUGCUGACCUGCAACUACGCCUGAACUCCGGUUUGUGGACAGCCAAUCUACCGCUUCCGAUCCGUCAGAUGCCAGGCGGCAUCACUCGGCCUUGGACUCGCUCAUGGAACUGUUUCGCUGCCUUUUUACGGGGCACCGCCACUCAAAAACGCACAUUUAACGCAUCUUGUUUGUCCAUGGUUAUCCGAAACCUGGCCAUAAAUGCCAUACAACGAUUCGCCGGUUUUCAGCUGGUCAUGCAAAAUUCAAACAACUCCGUCCGAAUGGAAUUUCUGCCAAUUUCCUGUGACGAACCGAACCCGAGGUCCUUGGCGGGCUGGGCAGGAAGUAUCGAUGGCGGUGCAAUUACCUGCAUAACAGCCAGGAAAAAUACCGAAAUACACUGCGAAAAAACAUACAUACAAAUUUUUAUAAUUAUGGUUACAAAUUUUGGAAAACUAUUACACCAUACACGAUAGUUAU